rnacentral:rRNA from 1 species
UGAGGAAUAUUGGUCAAUGGGCGCGAGCCUGAACCAGCCAAGUCGCGUGAGGGAAGACUGUGCAAAGCAUUGUAAACCUCUUUUGUCGGGGAACAAAGGCUCCCACGCGUGGGAGUAUGAGUGUACCCGAAGAAAAAGCAUCGGCUAACUCCGUGCCAGCAGCCGCGGUAAUACGGAGGAUGCGAGCGUUAUCCGGAUUUAUUGGGUUUAAAGUGUGCGCAGGCGGACUGUCAAGUCAGCGGUAAAAUGUCGGGGCUCAACCCCGGCCGGCCGUUGAAACUGGCGGUCUCGAGUUGAAGAGAAGUAUGCGGAAUGCGUGGUGUAGCGGUGAAAUGCAUAGAUAUCACGCAGAACUCCGAUUGCGAAGGCAGCAUACCGGCUUCAUACUGACGCUCAGGCACGAAAGCGUGGGGAUCGAACAGG